rnacentral:rRNA from 1 species
CAAUUUAAACAACGAAGAGUUUGAUCCUGGCUCAGGAUGAACGCUAGCGACAGGCUUAACACAUGCAAGUCGAGGGGCAGCGGGGGUAGCGAUACCCGCCGGCGACCGGCGCACGGGUGAGUAACGCGUAUGCAACUUGCCUAUCAGAGGGGGAUAACCCGGCGAAAGUCGGACUAAUACCGCAUGAAGCAGGGGCCCCGCAUGGGGAUAUUUGCUAAAGAUUCAUCGCUGAUAGAUAGGCAUGCGUUCCAUUAGGCAGUUGGCGGGGUAACGGCCCACCAAACCGACGAUGGAUAGGGGUUCUGAGAGGAAGGUCCCCCACAUUGGUACUGAGACACGGACCAAACUCCUACGGGAGGCAGCAGUGAGGAAUAUUGGUCAAUGGGCGUAAGCCUGAACCAGCCAAGUCGCGUGAGGGAUGAAGGUUCUAUGGAUCGUAAACCUCUUUUAUAAGGGAAUAAAGUGCGGGACGUGUCCCGUUUUGUAUGUACCUUAUGAAUAAGGAUCGGCUAACUCCGUGCCAGCAGCCGCGGUAAUACGGAGGAUCCGAGCGUUAUCCGGAUUUAUUGGGUUUAAAGGGUGCGUAGGCGGCCUUUUAAGUCAGCGGUGAAAGUCUGUGGCUCAACCAUAGAAUUGCCGUUGAAACUGGGGGGCUUGAGUAUGUUUGAGGCAGGCGGAAUGCGUGGUGUAGCGGUGAAAUGCAUAGAUAUCACGCAGAACCCCGAUUGCGAAGGCAGCCUGCCAAGCCAUUACUGACGCUGAUGCACGAAAGCGUGGGGAUCAAACAGGAUUAGAUACCCUGGUAGUCCACGCAGUAAACGAUGAUCACUAGCUGUUUGCGAUACACUGUAAGCGGCACAGCGAAAGCGUUAAGUGAUCCACCUGGGGAGUACGCCGGCAACGGUGAAACUCAAAGGAAUUGACGGGGGCCCGCACAAGCGGAGGAACAUGUGGUUUAAUUCGAUGAUACGCGAGGAACCUUACCCGGGUUUGAACGCAUUCGGACCGAGGUGGAAACACCUUUUCUAGCAAUAGCCGUUUGCGAGGUGCUGCAUGGUUGUCGUCAGCUCGUGCCGUGAGGUGUCGGCUUAAGUGCCAUAACGAGCGCAACCCUUGCCACUAGUUACUAACAGGUAAAGCUGAGGACUCUGGUGGGACUGCCAGCGUAAGCUGCGAGGAAGGCGGGGAUGACGUCAAAUCAGCACGGCCCUUACAUCCGGGGCGACACACGUGUUACAAUGGCGUGGACAAAGGGAGGCCACCUGGCGACAGGGAGCGAAUCCCCAAACCACGUCUCAGUUCGGAUCGGAGUCUGCAACCCGACUCCGUGAAGCUGGAUUCGCUAGUAAUCGCGCAUCAGCCAUGGCGCGGUGAAUACGUUCCCGGGCCUUGUACACACCGCCCGUCAAGCCAUGGGAGCCGGGGGUACCUGAAGUCCGUAACCGCGAGGAUCGGCCUAGGGUAAAACUGGUGACUGGGGCUAAGUCGUAACAAGGUAGCCGUACCGGAAGGUGCGGCUGGAACACCUCCUUUCUGGAGC